UUAAAGGGCUUGUCCAGUUUACUAUAUUGAUGACUUAAGCUACAUGCACACGACAGUGAAAAACAAUGUCUGUUAAAAACUGACAUUUUUAAUGGACGUUUAUUUCACUGAUGCCUUUCUGAGAAACGGACGUUAAAAAUGGACCCAUUCAAUUGUAUGGGGGGGAGUCUGUCAG